UACGUAGGUGGCAAGCGUUGUCCGGAAUUAUUGGGCGUAAAGCGCGCGCAGGCGGCCUUUUAAGUCUGAUGUGAAAGCCCACGGCUCAACCGUGGAAGGUCAUUGGAAACUGAAAGGCUUGAGUACAGAAGAGGAAAGCGGAAUUCCACGUGUAGCGGUGAAAUGCGUAGAGAUGUGGAGGAACACCAGUGGCGAAGGCGGCGACCUGGUUCGAUACUGACACUGAGGUGCGAAAGCGUGGGGAGCAAACAGG
rnacentral:rRNA from 1 species